GAUGCGGAAGGAGCAGAGCGGGCAGGUGACGGUGUCCAGCGCCCGUGGCAUAGGCAGCACUGUGCCGCACUCUGGGCAGAAGUUCGAGUCGCCGCUGAAGCAGGACAUGGCUGAGGAGAAACAACCAUAUGCCGGCGUGAGGCUGAUGGAGAGGCACGAAUGCAGAACAAGCAUUGGGACUAUGAGGGGAAUGAGCUGGAGGUGGCAGGGGAAGUAGAUUUGUAUAUCCCCUGGAAUAAAACCAAAGCUGUUGGCACGUAUGUCGCCACUGGGUGGUAGUGUUGUUCUGCGGUUUUCCAGAGGAAGGAGAGGAGAGGAAGGAGGAGACGUCGAUGAAGAGGCAGUGCCCUCAUUUGGCGGUGGUGGUGGGUACCACAGACCCUAAACUACUCCUCUUGACCCCUGGUUGGUCCAAUGCAACAAGCAGCAUGGAGCGUUAAUCUUCUGCUUUCGUGUAAACUGUAAUGAUCAUUUUGAUCUUUAUGGAAAAAGUACUCAUUAUUUUGUCUUCAGUGUUUCUUAUGAGAAAAAAAACCAUCUACAAAUAUUGACUUUGUACUGUUGACUCAUUAUUUGACCCUUAAACAACCCCCAUAUCUUCUCCACAAAAUGAUUGCAGUUCAGUGACCAGUGUGGGAGGACAUUUUAACCUCUGUCCUGGCUGUUUUGAUUGGCCACAGGAGAAAGGUUCCUCAAUGCCGAGGUUCAGACUGAUAGGAGACACUUACUGUAAACACGGCUUUGCAAAACCAACAUUUCCAGGGCAGCAGCUCACCACCAACGUUUGAAAGGAGUGCCAAUGAAAGACCCAUUACUUGGGCUCAGCACAUAAUAUAUGACUCCAUAUUUUCCAUGAACUUAUGCAAUUUCCUCAGAAGUAGGCUCAUUAUUCAUUGAACUCACUAUUUUGGCAUUUAACAUUGAACGACAUUCUUUGUAAGCUCUGUCUACCCUAGUAACCGAAAAUCAAACAUUCGUCAAUUGUAACCAACUGGGCACGACAUAACAUGGACUGAUGACAGAGACCAACAUGCACAAUAAACAUGUCAGGAAUCCCAUUAAAAUAUUGUAUUUUAUGUUAGGGAAGCUAGAGGACAGUUUAGUAAGUACAAUCUAUAAAAACACAUCUGCAUUCAGCUCAACUUGUGUAUUCUGAUGUAAUAACCACAUUUUAAUUUACGUGUUUGACUUAUUUAUACUGAAACUUUUUCUUUAUCCCUUAGUUGAGAUGUGGGGUGUGAAUAGAGUCCUCUACAGAGGGGCAGGAGGUCUCUGCCUGGUCCGUGAGCCCCGCGGCCUCUGGAGACCUCUCCUCUCGGCACCUUCUGACCUCACGCCUCCUGCAGCGCAGUCCAGCUGAAGGGCUGGCCCUGGUUCCCAGGCUGCUGCCGAGCCGACUGGCCCAGCACACAGGGACCCUCUGGGGGAACAGAGAGGGCUGCCUCCGCUCUGAGGACACGGACCUCAGUGCACUACUGACACAGGGUUAGAGACAACCAGUCCUCUGCCCUUGACCUUAAUGUCAACCAGUCCCCCGCCACAGGCCUCAGUGUGGCCCGCUGCUCCCAGCAGCUGAAGAGGAAACUCCAGGGCCGGCAGGACGGUGGACGCGGCGACCCCAGGGGGUUGAUCCGGCCACCCUGGGACUUCAUUCGCACAGAGAUGCCUUCAACUGGCUAGAGCAGAAGUACGGCUAUGAAGAGGGGAUAUGUCCGCCAGGACCAAGCACCCCAUGGCCGGUGCUCCACUCAGCGGACCUCAGCAGUGUGGUGGGCCCCGCGGUGGACCAGACCUCCUAUGCGUAGCGUCAAGGCUCAGUCUGAUGUAGCAAACGGGCCCAUCUUUGACGAGGUUGAGAACUUGGGCCGUCUCUACGCCAUGAGAAUCUCCCAGGAAGACGGUGCUGAACUGGAGGCUCAACGUGGAGAGGAUCUUCAGGGUGGUGGCUGUGCUCCACCUCAGUCUCCAGCUGAACCCUCAGAGGGCCAUGAAGCACCGUGUGCUGACCCGACCCAUGAGCUACAGAGGGGUGGAGGUGAGCCUGCGACUGCAGUCCACUCUCUGUCACAUGGUCAUAGUGGAGAACAUCCCGGCUGAGAGCAUGACUGAAGACGGAGUGCAGGCACUUUAACCUCGGGAGGCACCAGAGUCAUAGUCUAUUCAUUACUGGGGUUCGAUACCUGGAUGAAGGAGUCUUAAGUCAAAUCAAACAAGAUGGUAUUUCAAAACUGUUUGUUUCUUAUUUAUGUGCAGUUUUCAAACAAUACCAAUUGUGGUGGAAACACAAAAGCACAAAAGCAAAAAAGAGCAGAAUUGACCAUUUCCUUUUGAUGUGCGUUUAGGUCGAGUCCAGAUGUAGACGGGCCCACCUCCACCCCAGUGAAUUAUCUGGGAGCACUUUUGUGUUGUGACUUAAUACAACCGAUAGAACAUAGUACCACUAAAAGAACGACAAUGGAAAUAAGUGUUUUCCUGCCUUUCUGUUUUAUCUCCAGCAUGAGGUGCAGAACAUAAACAAAGAAUUUAAAUCAAUUCAUGCUUUCCUUCAC